AACGCUAGCUACAGGCUUAACACAUGCAAGUCGCGGGGCAGCAUGAAUUUAGCUUGCUAAAUUUGAUGGCGACCGGCGCACGGGUGAGUAACGCGUAUCCAACCUUCCCUUAUCCACGGGAUAGCCCGUCGAAAGGCGGAUUAAUACCGUAUGAGGUCAUUUGAUGGCAUCUGAUUAUGACGAAAGGUUUGGCGGAUAAGGAUGGGGAUGCGUCCGAUUAGCUUGUUGGCGGGGUAACGGCCCACCAAGGCGACGAUCGGUAGGGGUUCUGAGAGGAAGGUCCCCCACAUUGGAACUGAGACACGGUCCAAACUCCUACGGGAGGCAGCAGUGAGGAAUAUUGGUCAAUGGGCGAGAGCCUGAACCAGCCAAGUAGCGUGCAGGACGACGGCCCUAUGGGUUGUAAACUGCUUUUAUGCGGGGAUAAAGUGGGGGAUGCAUCCCUUUUUGCAGGUACCGCAUGAAUAAGGACCGGCUAAUUCCGUGCCAGCAGCCGCGGUAAUACGGAAGGUCCGGGCGUUAUCCGGAUUUAUUGGGUUUAAAGGGAGCGUAGGCUGGAGAUUAAGCGUGUUGUGAAAUGCCGCGGCUCAACUGUGGCACUGCAGCGCGAACUGGUUUCCUUGAGUGCGCUGAAAGUGGGCGGAAUUUGUGGUGUAGCGGUGAAAUGCUUAGAUAUCACGAAGAACUCCGAUUG
rnacentral:rRNA from 1 species